rnacentral:rRNA from 1 species
AACGAACGCUGGCGGCAGGCUUAACACAUGCAAGUCGAACGCACUCUUCGGAGUGAGUGGCAGACGGGUGAGUAACGCGUGGGAACCUACCCUUUACUACGGAAUAGCCUCGGGAAACUGGGAAUAAUACCGUAUACGCCCUUCGGGGAAGGAUUAUCGGUAAGGAUGGGCCGCGUUGGAUUAGCUAGUUGGUGGGGUAAGUGGCCUACCAAGGCGACGAUCCAUAGCUGGUCUGAGAGGAUGAUCAGCCACACUGGGACUGAGACACGGCCCAGACUCCUACGGGAGGCAGCAGUGGGGAAUAUUGGACAAUGGGCGAAAGCCUGAUCCAGCCAUGCCGCGUGAGUGAUGAAGGCCCUAGGGUUGUGAAGCUCUUUCACCGGUGAAGAUAAUGACGGUAACCGGAGAAGAAGCCCGGCUAACUUCGUG